UACGUAGGGGGCAAGCGUUGUCCGGAAUCAUUGGGCGUAAAGCGCGCGUAGGCGGCCCUGUAAGUCCGCUGUAAAAGUCAAAGGCUCAACCUUUGAAAGCCGGUGGAUACUGCAGGGCUAGAGUCCGGAAGAGGCGAGUGGAAUUCCUGGUGUAGCGGUGGAAUGCGCAGAUAUCAGGAGGAACACCAAUAGCGAAGGCAGCUCGCUGGGACGGUACUGACGCUGAGGUGCGAAAGCGUGGGGAGCAAACGGG
rnacentral:rRNA from 1 species